AUGGUGGUAACGGGUAACGGGGAAUUAGGGUUCGAUUCCGGAGAGGGAGCCUGAGAAACGGCUACCACAUCCAAGGAAGGCAGCAGGCGCGCAAAUUACCCAAUCCCGACACGGGGAGGUAGUGACAGUAAAUAACAAUACGGGGCUCUUUCGGGUCUCGUAAUUGGAAUGAGUACAAUUUAAAUCCCUUAACGAGGAACAAUUGGAGGGCAAGUCUGGUGCCAGCAGCCGCGGUAAUUCCAGCUCCAAUAGCGUAUAUUAAAGUUGUUGCAGUUAAAAAGCUCGUAGUUGAAUUUCGGGAUUGACACAUCGGUCGUGCCUUAAGGGGUAUGAACUGGUGUAGUCAAUUUCUCACCUUCUGGAGAACCGCAAUGCCCUUAAUUGGGUGUCGCGGGGAACCAGGACCUUUACUUUGAAAAAAUUAGAGUGUUUAAAGCAGGCAUUUUGCUUGAAUACAUUAGCAUGGAAUAAUGAAAUAGGACAUCCGAUUCUAUUUUGUUGGUUUCUAGGAUCGAUGUAAUGAUUAAUAGGGAUAGUUGGGGGCAUUAGUAUUCAAUUGUCAGAGGUGAAAUUCUUGGAUUUAUUGAAGACUAACUACUGCGAAAGCAUUUGCCAAGGAUGUUUUCAUUAAUCAAGAACGAAAGUUAGGGGAUCGAAGACGAUCAGAUACCGUCGUAGUCUUAACCAUAAACUAUGCCGA
rnacentral:rRNA from 1 species